ACGGAAGGCAGCAGUGGGGAAUAUUGGUCAAUGGGGGAAACCCUGAACCAGCGACGCCGCGUGAGGGAAGAAGGUCUUCGGAUUGUAAACCUCUGUUGUAAAGGACGAAAGAAAUGACGGUACUUUACGAGGAAGCCACGGCUAACUACGUGCCAGCAGCCGCGGUAAUACGUAGGUGGCGAGCGUUAUCCGGAUUUACUGGGUGUAAAGGGUGUGUAGGCGGGAUUGCAAGUCAGAUGUGAAAACUAUGGGCUUAACUCAUAGCCUGCAUUUGAAACUACAGGUCUUGAGUGUCGGAGGGGUAAAUAGAAGUCCCGGUGUAGCGGUGAAAUGCGUAGAUAUCGGGAGGAAUACCGGUGGCGAAGGCGAUCUACUGGACGACAACUGACGCUGAGACACGAAAGCGUGGGGAGCAAACAGGAUUAGAUACCCUGGUA
rnacentral:rRNA from 1 species